AAGGCGAAACCGCGAAUGGCUCAUUAAAUCAGCUAUGAUUCAUUGGAUCUGUACCCACACUUACUUGGAUAACUGUGGUAAUUCUAGAGCUAAUACAUGCACCACGUCUCUGACCGCAAGGGAAGAGCGCUUUUAUUAGUUCAAAACCGGUCGGGCCUCGGUCCGUCACCCCACCGUGUUGAAUCUGAAUAACUUGUCGCUGAGCGCACGGUCUCCGCACCGGCGCCGCCUCUUUCAAGUGUCUGCCUUAUCAGCUUUCGAUUGUAGGUUAUACGCCUACAAUGGCUAUAACGGGUAACGGGGAAUCAGGGUUCGAUUCCGGAGAGGGAGCCUGAGAAACGGCUACCACAUCUAAGGAAGGCAGCAGGCACGCAAAUUACCCACUCCCGGCACGGGGAGGUAGUGACGAAAAAUAACGAUGCGAGACUCAUCCGAGGCCUCGCAAUCGGAAUGAGUACACUUUAAAUCCUUUAACGAGGAUCUAUUGGAGGGCAAGUCUGGUGCCAGCAGCCGCGGUAAUUCCAGCUCCAAUAGCGUAUAUUAAAGUUGUUGCGGUUAAAAAGCUCGUAGUUGGAUUUCAGUUCUGGACUGACGGUUCACCGCCCGGUGCACACUGUCACGCUCCGAACAGCCACAACAGCCCGCUGGCUCGCACGGGGUGCUCUUCAUCGAGUGUCCCGCGUGGCCGGCAGAGUUUACUUUGAAAAAAUUAGAGUGCUCAAAGCAGGCUACACUUACGGCCUGAAUGCCUAUGCAUGGAAUAAUGGAAUAGGACCUCGGUUCUAUUUUGUCGGUUUUCUGAACCCGAGGUAAUGACUAAUAGGA
rnacentral:rRNA from 1 species